ACUUUAACAAGGAGGCCCUUUUAC
rnacentral:miRNA from 15 species